rnacentral:snRNA from 1 species
UUUGCAGUUUGCCUUUUGGCUUAGAUCAAGUGUAGUAUCUGUUCUUUUCAGUUUAAUCUCUGAAGUAAGUUACUCCACACUCAUGAUCAUUUGGACUUUUCAGCUAACAAAAAAAUAGACGUCACUACGGUGACUUCAAGAUUAUUCUUAUUUUUGUAUUCGGUCGUCGGCUCCCUGGGCUUGCCCAUAGUCGAUGGCACAGUGUCGCCAGUAUUGCACUAUCUCUGGCCGACGCGACCUUUU